GUUGUGUUUGAAAAAACGUCUCGUUAAUUAUAUCGUGACGUAAAUCAAGUGAAAAUCUAUAAAUAUUUGAACUAGAUCUUACAAAGAUUUAUAUUUUUAUUAAAAUAAUUGUUUCUCCAAUAGCUCUUUGCAACCAUGACAGCUGUUUAUUCGGGACAAUUAUAUAAUUUUUAAUGUAAACUUUGUUGUACGAACGUACAUGACUUUUAGAAUGCACCUACGCAUGUGAGAUUUCCGCGGCGUUUUGGUGAAUGUAAACAGAAAGAUACGAG
rnacentral:lncRNA from 1 species